rnacentral:rRNA from 1 species
CCUACGGGAGGCAGCAGUGGGGAAUAUUGGACAAUGGGGGCAACCCUGAUCCAGCCAUGCCGCGUGUGUGAAGAAGGCCCUCGGGUUGUAAAGCACUUUCAGUGAGGAAGAACGCCUGGUGGUUAAUACCCAUCAGGAAAGACAUCACUCACAGAAGAAGCACCGGCUAACUCCGUGCCAGCAGCCGCGGUAAUACGGAGGGUGCGAGCGUUAAUCGGAAUUACUGGGCGUAAAGCGCGCGUAGGUGGCUUGAUAAGCCGGUUGUGAAAGCCCCGGGCUCAACCUGGGAACGGCAUCCGGAACUGUCAAGCUAGAGUGCAGGAGAGGAAGGUAGAAUUCCCGGUGUAGCGGUGAAAUGCGUAGAGAUCGGGAGGGAUACCAGUGGCGAAGGCGGCCUUCUGGACUGACACUGACACUGAGGUGCGAAAGCGUGGGUAGCAAACAGGAUUAGAUACCCGUGUAGUC